UACGUAGGGUGCGAGCGUUGUCCGGAAUUAUUGGGCGUAAAGAGCUCGUAGGCGGUUUGUCGCGUCUGCUGUGAAAACCCGAGGCUCAACCUCGGGCCUGCAGUGGGUACGGGCAGACUAGAGUGCGGUAGGGGAGAUUGGAAUUCCUGGUGUAGCGGUGAAAUGCGCAGAUAUCAGGAGGAACACCGGUGGCGAAGGCGGAUCUCUGGGCCGUAACUGACGCUGAGGAGCGAAAGCAUGGGGAGCGAACAGG
rnacentral:rRNA from 1 species